GACGAACGCUGGCGGCGCGCUUAACACAUGCAAGUCGUGCGGUACCGAUGGCAAGUCUUCAUGACGAGCUUUCGGUAUAGCGGCGGACGGGUGAGUAACACGUGAGUAGCUGUCCUAGGGAGGGGGAUAACGCCUGGAAACGGGUGCUAAAACCCCAUAAGCCUCGCAAGAGGUGAAAGUGUACUUGUUACAGCCUUAGGGUGUGCUCGCGGCCUAUCAGCUAGUUGGUGAGGUAAGGGCUCACCAAGGCUAAGACGGGUAGCCGGCCUGAGAGGGUGUACGGCCACACUGGAAUUGAGAUACGGUCCAGACUCCUACGGGAGGCAGCAGUGGGGAAUUUUGGGCAAUGGGCGAAAGCCUGACCCAGCGACGCCGCGUUGGGGAUGAAGUCCUUCGGGGCGUAAACCCAUGUUGUAGGGGAAGAAGAAAGUGACGGUACCCUACGAGAAAGCCCCGGCCAACUACGUGCCAGCAGCCGCGGUAAAACGUAGGGGGCGAGCGUUGUCCGGAAUUACUGGGCGUAAAGGGCAUGCAGGCGGUGCGCCAAGUCGGGGGUGUAAAGUUACGGCUCAACCGUGACCUUGCAAUCGAAACUGGCGCACUGGAGUGCGGGAGAGGGAAGUGGAAUUCCCGGUGUAGCGGUGAAAUGCGUAGAUAUCGGGAGGAACGCCAGUGGCGAAGGCGGCUUCCUGGCCCGCGACUGACGCUCAUGUGCGAAAGCCAGGGGAGCGAA
rnacentral:rRNA from 1 species